GUCGGGUGUGGUGGCUCACACCUGUAAUCCCAGCACUUUGGGAGGCUGAGGCAGGCGGAUCACUUGAGGUCAGGAGUUUGAGACCAGCCUGACCAACAUGGUGAAACCCUGUCUCUA
ensembl:misc_RNA Metazoa_SRP Metazoan signal recognition particle RNA